rnacentral:rRNA from 1 species
UAAUACGUAGGUGGCAAGCGUUGUCCGGAUUUACUGGGUGUAAAGGGCGAGUAGGCGGGAUUGCAAGUCAGAUGUGAAAACGAUCGGCUCAACUGAUCGAUUGCAUUUGAAACUGCGGUUCUUGAGUGAUGGAGAGGCAGGCGGAAUUCCUAGUGUAGCGGUGAAAUGCGUAGAUAUUAGGAGGAACACCAGUGGCGAAGGCGGCCUGCUGGACAUUAACUGACGCUGAUGCGCGAAAGCGUGGGGAGCAAACAGG